rnacentral:sRNA from 1 species
ACUUAAUUUCUCGCAAUGUCAUCGUCCAAUGAAUUUCCGAAGAACACUGAAUCUUGUUUUCUUUUUCGCCAGGGCUGAGGAUACUACACUCUCGAAAACCUGUUUGGUUCGAAUCCUAUCGGCAGCUGAGCAUUCAAUGAAAGUAUGUCCAUUAACUUCUCUGCAUAAAUCGAAUCCUUCAUCAAAGGUCACGUGAUCCACAUCUUUGGAUUCUCUGAUAUCUACAUGGGUAGCCACGAGGACAAUGUCAUGUUUCUUUUUGAGAUUCUUGAUGGAAGGUAUCCAGAAUUCUCUGACAUUUCUGAACGAUUCACGAUCCACCACGCUGUAACAGACCACAAAUACCGCUUUGUUGUUUGGUGACUUCAGAAAGGCAUUGCAGAAGACCCAAUACCCUACCUCACCCCCAAAGUCUGUGAUGCUGACCAGAUAAUUGUCACCGUAGACUGACAUCAAAGCAUCGUAGUUCUCCACGACCGUGGCCAAAUAUCCAGAAGGGGGCUCCUGAUGGACAAAGGACUGAAUCAGGCUGGACUUGCCGACCAUCCCAUCCCCCACGACCGAGCAGCAGAUGGACAAAUCAGAUACAACCAUGGCGAUUCUGGACCGGGGGCUGGUGAAUGAUGGAAGUUAAAUGAUUACCGAACAGCCGAGAACUGGGAAUAUAUAGACAUUGAAUACCUCCUGGUGUGUCGACUAUUGUUUUAACUCUUUUCUUUUAACUUCACCGGGGGUGUAUCAAAUUUCUAUCCCCUGCUUGCCUUUUGAUUGUUUAUAAGUUCACUUUUAAAAUGAUAGUUACCCCCUAGAACUGCAAUUGCAAAUUCGAAGCAUAACGUCAUUGCAAACUGCAUAGUUUGCACCCCCAUUCCGAACAUUUUGGCCCUCCGUUUAACGUAUAUAAUGUAUAUACAUGUAUUAUGAUUAUUGUCUUUAUGCAUAUAUAAGAAAGAAGUACAACACCUGUUGCAUGAACCAAGAGAAUACAUUACAAUCUGUUUAUAAUUUCUGAACACAUAUAUUCUUAAUCCAUGGUUAUAAUUGAAUGGUCAAUUGAAUCCCCGAGAGCCAUGUUGCGUGACAGACAGAGGAUUCCUUCCCGUUAAAUGACACGUAAAAACCAUAAAAAUUUUGACAAGAGAACAUGAUGACCCUGGACCAUAUCCGUCACCUUUCCGCUAGCGUUCAGCCAAAUUGCCUUAUCUGUUUAACAUAAUAUAUCAUCUAUUGUGUAGACAAAAAGUUUCCCUCUAAUUUUCGUUGUUUAAUAUUAAACAAUUAGAGAAAAGGAAGAAAUGUGAGUGUCAAAAAAUGCACUGCCUACUUACACUACAGAUAAAUUGCUUCGACGGUAGGG